rnacentral:rRNA from 1 species
CCUACGGGUGGCAGCAGUAGGGAAUCUUCCACAAUGGACGAAAGUCUGAUGGAGCAACGCCGCGUGAGUGAAGAAGGGUUUCGGCUCGGAAAGCUCUGUUGGUAGGGAAGAAAGAUAGAGGUAGUAACUGGCCUUUAUUUGACGGUAAGUACGGAGAAAGUCACGGCUAACUACGUGCCAGCAGCCGCGGUAAUACGUAGGUGGCAAGCGUUGUCCGGAUUUAUUGGGCGUAAAGCGAGUGCCGGCGGUUCAAUAAGUCUGAUGUGAAAGCCUUCGGCUCAACCGGAGAAUUGCAUCCGAAACUUUUGAACUUGAGUGCAGAAGAGGAGAGUGGAACUCCAUGUGUAGCGGUGUAAUGCGUAGAUAUCUGGAAGAACCCCAGUUGCGAAGGCGGCUCUCUGGUCUGCAACUGACGCUGAGGCUCGAAAGCCUGGGUAGCGAACAGGAUUAGAUACCCUUGUAGUC